rnacentral:rRNA from 1 species
UACAGAGGUCUCAAGCGUUGUUCGGAUUCAUUGGGCGUAAAGGGUGCGUAGGUGGCGGGGCAAGUUUGGUGUGAAAUCCCGGGGCUCAACCUCGGAACUGCACUGAAUACUGCCUUGCUUGAGCACUGGAGAGGGAACUGGAAUUACGGUGUAGCGGUGAAAUGACGUAGAUAUCGUAAGGAACACCAGUGGCGAAGGCGGCGACCUGGACAGAUAUUGACGCUGAGGUGCGAAAGCGUGGGGAGCAAACAGG